UUUGAUUGGAUUUGUAAGUGUUAAAAUCUCAGUGUUAAAAAUCUCAGUGUUAAAAUCUCAGUGUUAAAAUCUCAGUGUUAAAAUCUCAGUGUUAAAAAUCUCAGUGUUAAAAUCUCAGUGUUAAAAUCUCAGUGUUAAAAUCUCAGUGUUAAAAUCUCAGUGUUAAAAAUCUCAGUGUUAAAAUCUCAGUGUUAAAAUCUCAGUGUUAAAAUCUCAGUGUUAAAAUCUCAGUGUUAAAAUCUCAGUGUUAAAAUCUCAGUGUUAAGGUAAAAGAAUUACGUGAUUUGAUUUGAUUUGAUCAAUGUAAAAAAACAUAGAUAUUGAAACAAACCUGCAAUAGAGCAUCCUGGGAAAUAUGAUAAUAAUGGUCGUGGUUUUGGUUUUUUACACCACUGACUAGUCAUUGCUGCAAGUUGAUUAUUAGAAUAGUUAGUUUUUUAAUAACUAUGUUUCUGCAUGCACGUUGAUCGUAUACUGCACAAAGAUAAAUACAAAAUAAAUAAAACAUCUAAACUAAUCCCACCAAUAAAGGGUUGGAUUUAUUGCACCCCUUACUGAGAUGCCUGUUCCAGUUGGGAUGGAUUAGGUCUUCUUGUAAAUGAAGUCUCCGCACCCCUUACUGAGAUGCCUGUUCCAGUUGGGAUGGAUUAGGUCGUCUUGUAAAUGAAGUCUCCGCACCCCUUACUGAGAUGCCUGUUCCAGUUGGGAUGGAUUAGGUCUUCUUGUAAAUGAAGUCUCCGCACCCCUUACUGAGAUGCCUGUUCCAGUUGGGAUGGAUUAGGUCGUCUUGUAAAUGAAGUCUCCGCACCCCUUACUGAGAUGCCUGUUCCAGUUGGGAUGGAUUAGGUUGUCUUGUAAGUGAAGUCUCCGCACCCCUUACUGAGAUGCCUGUUCCAGUUGGGAUGGAUUAGGUCUUCUUGUAAAUGAAGUCUUGCACCGUUGCAGUCAUUCUGAAAGCAGGUUGUGUUUUACAAAGAAUUGGAGUUGUUGGCUGUUCUCCCUAGCUGAAUUCCGAUUAGAAGUACAAAUCGUGUUGCCGAAGCGUUUCAGACCGCAACAUUGACGAUAACUAGUAGGCCCUAUCUAAAGGCUUUACGAUAUAGAUCAAACAUGGUACUCUUUUAAUUCAAAUAUAGUUACUGUUUAAUGAUUGCCCAUUGAAUGUAAAAACAUUAUCUCUGUCACUAACAAACACAGUCGUGGGUGGGUACGUCUCACAUUCACCUGAAAGGCAUGCUGGGAAAUGAGCUAAUAAUAA